GAUGAACGCUGGCGGCGUGCCUAAUACAUGCAAGUCGAGCGAACAGACGAGGAGCUUGCUCCUCUGACGUUAGCGGCGGACGGGUGAGUAACACGUGGAUAACCUACCUAUAAGACUGGGAUAACUUCGGGAAACCGGAGCUAAUACCGGAUAAUAUAUUGAACCGCAUGGUUCAAUAGUGAAAGACGGUUUUGCUGUCACUUAUAGAUGGAUCCGCGCCGCAUUGGCUAGUUGGUAAGGUAACGGCUUACCAAGGCAACGAUGCGUAGCCGACCUGAGAGGGUGAUCGGCCACCCUGGAACGGAGACACCGUCCAGACUCCUACGGGAGGCCGCAGUAGGGAAUCUUCCGCAAUGGUCGAAAGCCUGGCGGAGCAACGCCGCGUGAGUGAUGAAGGUCUUCGGAUCGUAAUACUCUGUUAUUAGGGAAGAACAAAUGUGUAAGUAACUAUGCACGUCUUGACGGUACCUAAUCAGAAAGCCCCGGCUAACUACGUG
rnacentral:rRNA from 1 species